AGAGAGAGAGAGAGAGAGAGAGAGAGAGAGAGAGAGAGAGAUCGAAUUAACGAACGAAAAAAGAAGGUUAAUAGAAAGUAUAUUAUAUAUUUGAGUAAAACAGUUCGAGGGUUGGCAUUAUCCAUGCCUGGAUAGAAACUUAAAAUCGUCUUUUUACCAAAUACGCGGAUUCGUUUAGUUUUGCCACUUUUUUGUUUACGUUUUAAGAGGGGAUACCGCAUUGGGAGGCCAAAUAUUAAAUGUUCGUUUUUUUUUUAAAUCUUUCAGAUAUCAGCUGUUCCUCGAAGACAACUGUUUGGAGAAAUGUAGUUUCUGUGUGAAAUGAAAUGAAAAACUGACCGAAUGUACUUCAAAUCAUAUAUAAAAUAUUCUCAAGCUUAUGAAAACAUUACAGAAAUUGUUCUCUGUAAAAAAAAUUACUAGGAAUACUUGAUAUUUGGCCUCCUAGGUAGACUUUCCUCCCUAAGAGGCGCUACGUCGCGCACGCUCAGGAAACGAUUGGAGGAGAGGAUUCACCGAUUUAGAGGUCCACUUAGAGUCGAGAACGAAAGGUCUUGGAUAAAGUCAACGCUCGUUUACUCAUAACUUAUUAUGUACAUCGUCUGAAGGAACCGGUACGUUCGUAAAGAAAAAUAAACACUAAGUAUGUAUCAAUCGGUUUCGUUCAUUUCCCCAAGUGACGGAGUGCAAUUUACAGGUCCCAUAUAAAAUAAAAAUAAAAAUUUUUUUUCCAGGAUUUAUUGGUUACGAAUAAUUUAUUAACAGAUAUUGAGUUACACGUGGCUCCAUUUUGAAUGAACUUCGACGUUUUAUUUUGUUUUAUUCGGUGCUCACGUUGAAUUACGAAUUUCGAAAUGCUUUGGAAGUUUGUUGGCAUUAAAGUAUUUGACGUUGUAUCUUAGGAAGGAAAUUUUGGAGAAUUCGGAGAAGUUUAGACCGGUGAACGAAACCGAGAACAUCGUAAGUUUUUCCUUUAAAAAAAAUUGUAUAAAAAUUACUCGUAGUUAGAAUAUAAAUGAAACUAUUUACAUUGUACCAUUUUGAAAUGAAAAUAGUCAAUUGUCGAAUGGUGAUUAUUAUGUUAAGUGGACCGAGAUUCCCAAAUCUAGAUAAACAAGAACUGUAUGGUUUGUGAAUAGGAAUUGUAUAUUUAUACAUAUUUUUAACCAUAGUAAUUAGAGACGCAAGUUAACUGAAAUUAUUAUACGAGUAUGAUGUACAAUUACAAUAAAAUUAUACAAUAGUACGAUAUUUUUAAAUUCUUCGUCAUCACUGAACUAUAUUAUAGCGUAUAAAUGUUCUGUUAUCUUUUCAAAUAAAUGUUAUUAAAUCUUUCA